rnacentral:rRNA from 1 species
UACGAAGGGGGCUAGCGUUGCUCGGAAUCACUGGGCGUAAAGGGUGCGUAGGCGGGUUUUUAAGUCAGGGGUGAAAUCCUGGAGCUCAACUCCAGAACUGCCUUUGAUACUGAAGAUCUUGAGUCCGGGAGAGGUGAGUGGAACUGCGAGUGUAGAGGUGAAAUUCGUAGAUAUUCGCAAGAACACCAGUGGCGAAGGCGGCUCACUGGCCCGAUACUGACGCUGAGGCACGAAAGCGUGGGGGAGCAAACAGG